AUUGAACGCUGGCGGCAGGCCUAACACAUGCAAGUCGAACGGUAACAGGAAGCAGCUUGCUGCUUCGCUGACGAGUGGCGGACGGGUGAGUAAUGUCUGGGAAGCUGCCUGAUGGAGGGGGAUAACUACUGGAAACGGUAGCUAAUACCGCAUAAUGUCGCAAGACCAAAGAGGGGGACCUUCGGGCCUCUUGCCAUCGGAUGUGCCCAGAUGGGAUUAGCUUGUUGGUGGGGUAACGGCUCACCAAGGCGACGAUCCCUAGCUGGUCUGAGAGGAUGACCAGCCACACGGGAACUGAGACACGGUCCAGACUCCUACGGGAGGCAGCAGUGGGGAAUAUUGCACAAUGGGCGCAAGCCUGAUGCAGCAAUGCCGCGUGUAUGAAGAAGGCCUUCGGGUUGUAAAGUACUUUCAGCGGGGAGGAAGGGAGUAAAGUUAAUACCUUGGCUCAUUGACGUUACCCGCAGAAGAAGCACCGGCUAACUCCGUG
rnacentral:rRNA from 1 species